UGGGGAAUAUUGCGCAAUGGCCGCAAGGCUGACGCAGCGACGCCGCGUGUGGGAUGACGGCCUUCGGGUUGUAAACCACUGUCGGGAGGGACGAAUACGGGGCCUCAAAUAGGGGACCCUGGGUGACGGUACCUCCAAAGGAAGCACCGGCUAACUCCGUGCCAGCAGCCGCGGUAAUACGGAGGGUGCGAGCGUUGUCCGGAAUUACUGGGCGUAAAGGGCGCGUAGGCGGUUCGUUAAGUUGCUGGUGAAAUCCCGGGGCUCAACUCCGGGGCUGCCGGCAAGACUGGCGGGCUAGAGCACGGUAGAGGCAGAUGGAAUUCCCGGUGUAGCGGUGGAAUGCGUAGAUAUCGGGAAGAAUACCGGUGGCGAAGGCGUUCUGCUGGGCCGUUGCUGACGCUGAGGCGCGACAGCGUGGGGAGCAAACAGG
rnacentral:rRNA from 1 species